AUGAUCUCUACAUCCCUACUGCUGCUAGCAGCCGUACACUGUGUUCACUGUGUUGAGCUGAUCCAGCCCGGAUCCACAGUAUUAACCCCUGGUCAGUCAAUGACUCUGACCUGCAAAGUGUCUGGAUAUUCAUUAACUGAUAGAACUUACUGUACAGACUGGAUACGACAACCUGCAGGAAAAGCUCUGGAAUGGAUCGGAUGUAUAUGUGGUAGCGGUAGCACAUUAUACAGUGAGAAACUGAAAAGCAGCUUUCAGGUUUCCAGAGACACGUCUAGCAGCACAGUAACAUUAACAGGACAGAACAUGCAGACUGAAGACACAGCUGUGUAUCACUGUGCUCGUUACCCACAGUGAGACAGAUCAACAAUAAACCUGU